rnacentral:tRNA from 1 species
GCGGGUUUAGCUCAGUUGGGAGAGCGUCAGACUGAAGUUUCAACUUCAUUCUCAUCAACAACGUUGAUAUCUGAAGGUCAUGUGUUCGAUCCACAUAAACCGCA